CGCGCAGGCGGCCAGGUAAGUCGAAUGUGAAAGCCCCCGGCUCAACUGGGGAGGGUCAUUCGAUACUGCUUGGCUUGAAGGUAGGAGAGGGAAGCGGAAUUUCAGGUGUAGUGGUGAAAUGCGUAGAUAUCUGAAGGAACACCAGUGGCGAAGGCGGCUUUCUGGCCUGUUCUUGACGCUGAGGCGCGAAAGCUAGGGGAGCGAACG
rnacentral:rRNA from 1 species